rnacentral:rRNA from 1 species
AAAACUAUCCAGUCUUUUGGGUAUGAAACUCAUUUGGGCGAGAGUAGUACUAGGAUGGGUGACCUCCUGAGAAGUCCUCGUGAAAGGGUUUC